UGAGCGGACGCGUGUUGUCGUCGUUCCUGUUCUGGGUGCUUCGGCGUGGCGUUGGUGGCUCGGACUGUUCUGACUGUGUGUUUGUGCCUUGCUAGUGAUGUCUGGACAUGUUUCUCUGUUUGUACGCCUUGGAAGAUACGACCAGAAGCCGUUGGAUUUCGUGAAUGGAAGACGCUUUUGACAGAUUUGUUUCUGUGCACAAGACAAAUGGGCUGUCGCACUCCCGACGUAGGAAAUGAACACACACGUCGCUGAGAUCUUAAAAGACAAAGUAGGGUGUGCACUUCACCCAUGCAACUCCAAUGUCUGCUUCAUGGCAGUGCAAGCUUUUACAACCGUGCCCUUGAAUGUAACAAGCCAAAUAAACUGGAUAACAGAGAAAAGUUUCCUGGUUCUUUUGCCACUAUGUUCGC